rnacentral:rRNA from 1 species
GUCUACGGCCAUGCUACCUCGAACAAGCUCAAUCCCGUCUGAUCUCGGAAGCUAAGCAGGGUCGGGCCUGGUUAGUACUUGGAUGAGAGACCACCUAGGAAGACCAGGACCAGGUGGAGU